CCUACGGGCGGCAGCAGUGGGGAAUAUUGGGCAAUGGAGGCAACUCUGACCCAGCAACGCCGCGUGAGUGAUGAAGGUUAUCUUAUUGUAAAGUUCUUUUCUUUGGGACGAAUAAAUGACGGUACCAAUGGAAUAAGCCCCGGCUAACUACGUGCCAGCAGCCGCGGUAAUACGUAGGGGGCAAGCGUUGUUCGGAAUGACUGGGCGUAAAGGGUGUGGAGGUGGGUAGAUAAGUUAGAUGUGUAAUCCCCAGGGCUCAACUCGGGUGCUGCAUCUAAAACUGUUAGACUUGAGUACUGGAGAGGAUAGUGGAAUUCCUAGUGUAGCGGUGGAAUGCGUAGAUAUUAGGAAGAACAUCAGUGGCGAAGGCGAAUAUCUGGACAGCAACUGACAGUGAGGCGCGAAAGCGUGGGGAGCAAACAGGAUUAGAUACCCUAGUAGUC
rnacentral:rRNA from 1 species